UAGAAACCCAUCCCGCCCAUGCCACCCAUUGCGGGUGCUGCGGCUGCUGCCUCCUCUUCCUUGGGGAUCUCAACAAUAAUAGAUUCUGUGAAUGAAUAUUAGGAAGAGUACCUUGCAGCAUCCACCAGAGCUGUUCUGAUAACUUUUAGUGGGUCAAUGAUACCAGACUUCACCAUGUCAACGUAUUCACCUGGCAGCAUCAUAACCUAGAUCAGUAUUAUCCUGUUCCAAAAGCUUGCCAAUAAUGACAGAUCCUUCUACACCCGCAUUCGAAGCAAUUGUGUGCACUGGGGUCUUCAAAGCAUUUUGAAUGAUCUGGACACCAAUCUUUUGGUCAAAGUUCGCAGUCUGCAAUUUAUCCAGGUCUUUUGAUGCAUACAGAAGGGCAACUCCACCACCUACUACCUGGUACAAUACCCUCCUCUACAGCAGCUUUGGUAGCAUUUAGUGCAUCAGUCACUCUAUCCUUCUUCUCACCAACCUCCGCUUCACU
rnacentral:sRNA from 1 species